UGCGUAGGCGGGCUAAUAAGUCAGUGGUGAAAUCUCUCGGCUCAACCGGGAAACUGCCAUUGAUACUGUUAGUCUUGAGUUCGGCUGAGGUAGGCGGAAUGUGUAAUGUAGCGGUGAAAUGCUUAGAUAUUACACAGAACACCAAUUGCGUAGGCAGCUUACUAGACCGACACUGACGCUGAGGCACGAAAGCGUGGGGAGCGAACAGGAUUAGAUACCCUGGUAGUC
rnacentral:rRNA from 1 species